rnacentral:tRNA from 1 species
AAGGCCUUAGCUUAGUUAAAGUGUCUGAGUUGCAUUCAGAAGAUGUGGGGUAGAGUCCUGCAGGUCUUA